rnacentral:misc_RNA from 1 species
AAAGAGAAGACUCACGCGGGGGAACGCGUGGUGGUGGCGGCGGCGGCGGCCCCGAAUGGGGAGCCACCCUGUCGGAAUCAAUGGGCGGACGCCUGCCGCGAUGCCGAGCGUGAUAUGAAGCAUGGGCGCUCGAGCGCGGCGAGGCUCCCAGCCCCUGGCCCAUGGGUCUGGGCGGGGAGGGCAAGACACU